AGGUUUGGUGGACGGUCUGUAAAUCCGUCGGCUCAGCCUACGAAGGUUCGAAUCCUUCACCUGCCACCA
rnacentral:tRNA from 1 species